rnacentral:rRNA from 1 species
CACGUAGGCGGCGCAGCAAGUCAGGGGUGAAAUCCCGGGGCUCAACCCCGGAACUGCCCUUGAAACUGCAGUGCUAGAAUUCUGGAGAGGCGAGUGGAAUUCCGAGUGUAGAGGUGAAAUUCGUAGAUAUUCGGAAGAACACCAGUGGCGAAGGCGACUCGCUGGACAGACAUUGACGCUGAGGUGCGAAAGCGUGGGAGCAAACA